rnacentral:rRNA from 1 species
GUGGGGAAUUUUGGACAAUGGGCGCAAGCCUGAUCCAGCCAUGCCGCGUGCAGGAAGACGCAUCUAUGGUGUGUAAACUGCUUUUGUACGGGAAGAAACACUCCCUCGUGAGGGAGCUUGACGGUACCGUAAGAAUAAGGAUCGGCUAACUCCGUGCCAGCAGCCGCGGUAAUACGGAGGAUCCAAGCGUUAUCCGGAAUCAUUGGGUUUAAAGGGUCCGUAGGCGGUUUAAUAAGUCAGUGGUGAAAGCCAAUCGCUCAACGAUGGAACGGCCAUUGAUACUGUUAGACUUGAAUUACAAGGAAGUAACUAGAAUAUGUAGUGUAGCGGUGAAAUGCUUAGAUAUUACAUGGAAUACCAAUUGCGAAGGCAGGUUACUACUUGUGGAUUGACGCUGAUGGACGAAAGCGUGGGGAGCGAACAGGAUUAGAUACCCCGGUAGUCC